GACUAGUUUUAUUAUUAACAAAUUAAAAAGAAAAAGCUAUCAUUUUUCUCUUCUCCUCCACCGAAAAUGGCAGAAAAGAAAGGGGUUUUGAAGCUCUGAAAUAUCAGCCACUUACAUCCCUUGCUAGGUUGCCAGGUUAGCUCGGGUUGGAGUUCAUCGGAGAUAUUAUCUCACUGUCAAGCUAACGUUAUUGGUGUAGUGAUUUCAAGUACUUUGAGCCUAUAGCAUGUAUAGGAGUUUAAAUAUUAGAGUAUGUGAUAUGGCUUUAGCCAUAUGUGUUAGCCUAUUUUGAUUAUGGGGUUGUAAAUCCAUUUUAAUUAUGCAUGCAUGUGCUAUGGUAUUAUGUGAUGAGUUUAUAAUGAUUAUAGCAUGAAUGUGGUAAAGAUGUGAGUAAAAUCUAUGUUAUCUAUUGCAUGUGAAAUUGCCAUAAUCAUGACAUGUUAGGAA